CCUACGGGAGGCAGCAGUGGGGAAUAUUGGACAAUGGGGGGAACCCUGAUCCAGCGACGCCGCGUGAGUGAAGAAGUAUUUCGGUAUGUAAAGCUCUAUCAGCAGGGAAGAAAGAAAUGACGGUACCUGACUAAGAAGCCCCGGCUAACUACGUGCCAGCAGCCGCGGUAAUACGUAGGGGGCAAGCGUUAUCCGGAUUUACUGGGUGUAAGGGGAGCGUAGACGGCGAUGUAAGUCUGAAGUGAACGGCGGGGGCCCAACCCCCGGACGGCUGUGGAAACUGUAUGGCUAGAGUACAGGAGGGGGAAGUGGAAUUCCUGGGGUAGCGGUGAAAUGCGUAGAUAUUGGGAGGAACACGAGUGGCGAAGGCGGCUUACUGGACUGUAACGGACGUUGAGGCUCGAAGGCGAGGGGAGCGAAAGGGAUUAGAUACCCGGGUAGUC
rnacentral:rRNA from 1 species